rnacentral:lncRNA from 1 species
GUGUCCUGAAGCAGUGUCAGAGACAGAGCCACAACUGGUUUGCUCUCUGGGGAGAGUUGAUGGAGUGUGGGGAUUGGUCUUGUUAUAUCAAUGAAAUCUAGACGCCUUAAGUGACUGCAGGACUUCUGAAAGCCCUCUAUGCCACUGAAAUGCAAGCAAAGAACAGAAGAUAUCAACUUCCAACAUUUCCGUUAGAAGAUGAGGUUUUCGAGAGCUGUAGAAAAAAAUACCAACAUUAAAGGAACUGUUCAUUGCAUAGUGAUUCAGAAAUCAGUUGUGAGAGGUGGGAGAUGUGGGAGAGGAGAAGGCAGAUGCAGUCAUCUUUGGUCUCUCAUAGAGCUGCUGUCGUUUCUAGAGGGCACUGCUGGGACUGUAAAAACAGCAAUUAGAAACGUUGAUCUGAACACCAGCCCUGUGCAGUUUGAGAGAAAAAUACAGAUGAGCUGAGAAGAAUCUACUCGCCUUAUGUCAUUUGAUUUUGUAAGGGAACCUGUUGAUCACAGCCUGAACCUCUGAUUAACCAUCUGAGGCAAGCAAUGAGUCAGCUGCAGGAGCACAGGUGGAGGUAAUACAGCUGUGCUCCUGGAAGGGGUGGAGCUUGACUCCACCUCUCCUAGAUCCCAUUUAAGGGCUGACCACCACUAAGGUAAUUUCUCUUUUAGGAGCUUUUGUGGCAAGUUUCAUCGUUGGCAAGUAUCCAUCUCAACUGAAAGCCUCAGCACUGGUGAGUCUUUUCCUAGAUAUCCUCUAGCCAUUUACUCUGUAAUUGCAACUAUACACAUAAACUAUGCUGAAAAAUCACCUCCUCUUUUUAGGUAAC